rnacentral:lncRNA from 1 species
AUAAAUGCUUACCAAAUUACCCCUACUCUGAGACACUUUUAAGAAUCUUGAAUUAACAGCUUCUACUUCUUUUGGUUUGGCUGGAAAAUCUAUCUUCUACAUUUUCUCAUCUACCAUAUUACUUCAUUACUACCAGCAUGCUUGGACAGACCUAUUAAUAGGGCAGAAAUGUUGAGCCAAAGGAAGACUGUGCAGAAUAUUUCCCGAAUAGUUUAUACUUUUCCUGUUAGUUCAUGUUGAGUGUAUUGGGUCUGUAUUGUGGUUUCAUACAAACUGGGCUGAUGAUUAUUUAAGAUAUUUUCAUCAUUCUUUCUGAGUUAUAGAACCACUUUUUUUCCCCCAAAAUAAAAUUUCAAUUGCAGUCUUUGGUGUGUAAUCA